rnacentral:rRNA from 1 species
CGCAAGCCUGAUCCAGCAAUGCCGCGUGAGUGAAGAAGGCCUUCGGGGUUGUAAAGCUCUUUGUCAGGGAAGAAACGGGUGGGGAGCUAAUAUCUCCUGCUAAUGACGGUACCUGAAGAAUAAGCACCGGCUAAACUACGUGCCAGCAGCCGCGGUAAUACGUAGGGUGCAAGCGUUAAUCGGAAUUACUGGGCGUAAAGCGUGCGCAGGCGGUUUUUGUAAGUCUGAUGUGAAAUACCCCGGGCUCAACCUGGGAAUUGCAUUGGAGACUGCAAGGCUAGAAUCUGGCAGAGGGGGGUAGAAUUCCACGUGUAGCAGUGAAAUGCGUAGAUAUGUGGAGGAACACCGAUGGCGAAGGCAGCCCCCCUGGGUCAAGAUUGACGCUCAUGCCACGAAAGCGUGGGGAGCAAACAGGAUUAGAUACCCUCGGUAG